rnacentral:rRNA from 1 species
GUAGUCGAAUGUUUGCAUUGGAUUGAGACAACGUACAAACCUUAUCGAUAAACAAUUGGAGGGCAAGUCUGGUGCCAGCAGCCGCGGUAAUUCCAGCUCCAAUAGCGUAUAUUAACGUUGUUGCAGUUAAAAAGCUCGUAGUUGAAAUGAAGGGUAGUUGUGUAAUGAAUACAUUCGUGUAUUUUGUUAUUCAACUACCCUCCUUCUAAAUUCGAUAUAUGAGUAUUAAUUUACUUGUAUAUGGUUUUAGACGUUUACUGUGAGAAAAUUAGAGUGUUCAAAGCAGGCAUUUGCUUGAAUAUAUUAGCAUGGAAUAAUCAUGUAUGAUUUUCAUGAUGUAUUUGAUUGGUUUGGUUCAUGAGAAUAAGAUUAAAAGGGACAGUUGGGGGUAUUCAUAUUCAAUAGUCAGAGGUGAAAUUCUCGGAUUUAUGGAAGAUGAACAAGUGCGAAAGCAUUUACCAAGGAUGUUUUCAUUAAUCAAGAACGAAAGUUAGGGGAUCGAAGAGGAUUAGAUACCCGUAAAUUCUCUUAAAAAAU